GAUGCGGAGGCAGUUAGUAUUAUCCUCCUUGUCCUACUGAACGAGUUUGAGGACUAUCGGGCCAUCGGGAGGCGCGACCCGCUGCUGCCGAGGUAAAUGCAUAAAGGUGAAGACAGUGCUUUGUUGUGGCUGAUAGAUGCCAAGGUAAUAUUAUACACACGUGCAGGGUUUCCAUCACUGGCUGUAACUCGGCAGUGUGCUUAAAUUAAGGGCCGUGUGGCCGCUGCACCCGCUGGCCCAUCGCCUACGCGGUUAAUUACAAGGCGAGGAUAAGACGCAGCUCCUUGCCGCGUCAAAGCCUCGCCGGUGAUUUAUGAAGAGAUAUAUAUUUAGUGGAGCCGCCAAUGGGUAGUUCCAAGGAGGAGCAUUAUGAGGCCUUUGAAGAGCCUACGCCCAUGUACAGGCUUUACACGCAAGCACGUAUACACCGGCUCCUGCUUUUGUGGUGUGAUACUAGAACACACACACACACACACACACACACACGUCCAGUGUAGACAGAGAGGCUUUACUCAGUGUUUUCAUGAGUCAUGGCACUGUGCCAAUCUCAUUAACACUACAGUCUUAUCUCUCCUGGCCAUGUCGUGUAUCUCUCAACUCUAAUAUUAACUCGUGCAAGUGUUCCAAGGCUCGCAUUUGGGUGUAUUUUUUUUCUAUAGAAGUGUGUAGUUGUACCUUUGUGUGAUGUCGAGCUGUAGUGUUGGAGGGUUUUAUGGUACAAUAAGUAUGCAGUGUAUACAGUUUGUCCCUAAAACCUUGUUGUUUAGCAAUGUGCAAAUUGUGAUGUCUAACUUUCAACAAAAUUUUGAGUCUCAUAUUUGGAGAAGCCGAGGUGUUCCUUCUCGCUCCUUGUGUGGACGUGGGAUUGUGUAGCAUUGUGUGGGAAUGUCUUUUACUGCAUUACAUAGCGCAUGAUUAGCUUGUGUUUCUAGGAGUGUUGUGGAAAACGAUGAGCAUUAUUGUUCCCGAUGCUCUGCUUUGUCUUUCGAGUCUUCCAUGAAACAGUGUUGUAAUGAUUUUGUGUUUCUGGAGCUGUGCAUUCUCUUAUUAUUUCUAUCAUAGUAUGUAUCGAACUUGUAAUUUCUAUCAUUUAAAGA